rnacentral:rRNA from 1 species
CUACGGGUGGCUCCAGUGAGGAAUAUUGGUCAAUGGGCGCGAGCCUGAACCAGCCAUCCCGCGUGCAGGAUGACGGCCCUAUGGGUUGUAAACUGCUUUUCUAUGCCAAGAAACCUGAUUACGUGUAAUCAGUUGCCGGUAGCAUAGGAAUAAGCAUCGGCUAACUCCGUGCCAGCAGCCGCGGUAAUACGGAGGAUGCAAGGGUUAUCCGGAUUCAUUGGGUUUAAAGGGUGCGCAGGUGGGCUUGUAAGUCAGUGGUGAAAUGCUGCCGCUUAACGGUAGAACUGCCAUUGAUACUGGGAGUCUUGAGUAUGGUUGAGGUAGGCGGAAUGUGUUGUGUAGCGGUGAAAUGCAUAGAUAUGACACAGAACGCCAAUUGCGAAGGCAGCUUACUAAGCCAUUACUGACGCUGAGGCACGAAAGCGUGGGGAGCGAACAGGAUUAGAUACCCCAGUAGUC